rnacentral:rRNA from 1 species
CUUGCUGAAUCUCGCGCUGACGAGCGGCGGACGGGUGAGUAACGCGUAGGAAUCUACCUAGUAGAAGGGGAUAGCCCGGGGAAACUCGGAUUAAUACCGUAUACGUCCUUAGGGGGAAAGAGGGCUUAGCUUUGAUGCUCUCGCUAUUAGAUGAGCCUGCGUAAGAUUAGCUCGUUGGUGAGGUAAAGGCUCACCAAGGCUACGAUCUUUAGCUGGUCUGAGAGGACGAUCAGCCACAUUGGGACUGAGACACGGCCCAGACUCCUACGGGAGGCAGCAGUGGGGAAUAUUGGACAAUGGGCGCAAGCCUGAUCCAGCCAUACCGCGUGUGUGAAGAAGGCCUUCGGGUUGUAAAGCACUUUAAGUAAGGAGGAAAAGUAUAUUGUUAAUACCAAUGUACCGUGACAUUACUUACAGAAUAAGGACCGGCUAAUUCCGUGCCAGCAGCCGCGGUAAUACGGAAGGUCCAAGCGUUAAUCGGAAUUACUGGGCGUAAAGCGCGCGUAGGUGGUUUAUUAAGUUGGGUGUGAAAGCCCCGGGCUCAACCUGGGAACUGCAUCCAAAACUGAUUCACUAGAGUACGAAAGAGGGAGGUAGAAUUCACAGUGUAGCGGUGGAAUGCGUAGAUAUUGUGAAGAAUACCAAUGGCGAAGGCAGCCUCCUGGUUCUGUACUGACACUGA